CACCUAUCUAGAAAAUUCAAGACUAACAAAACGAAAUUACAUGAGAAAGAAAGAAGAGAAGAGAAAAGAAAUUAAGGUAGAAAGAAGGAAAGAGCUACGAUUUUGGGAGGAGAAAAAGCCCAAAACGUUACCAAACAGUUCCUAAGUUUCAGCUGCGCUAAAGGAAAUUCCGAGGCAAGUUUUGGCGAAUUUCGGGAAAGGUUCAAGAGACGACGAGGCGAGCAUAGUUAAGAGUAAUCCGUAAGAGGUACAGACGAUUGGUUUGCUGAUCCGCUCGCUUAAGACAUCCACCAUGUUGGUCGACAGUGCUCCUUUGUCCGGAGCCCUAUUUUGGUACUGACACUUUCUGUUGUAUAUAUAUAUACGUUGUUCAGGGGUACGGCGGGGCCCUGUCCCGUCAUAUGACUAGGAUAUCAUUCCGUAGAGGUCUGUAGACAUGAGAUGUGGGUUUUGUAUAUAUGUUUUGGGGUUUUUUGUGUUUCGUGAUGGCCUAUAGGCUCUCGUGCAUUAUAUCUGUUUAGAGAUCCCUUCUAAUGAUUACCUAUGUUUAUUCGAUUAAUGUACUAAGUGGGGCUAAGGGUACGUAUGGGUGCCCAACUCGGGCACCAGCCAUGGCCUACGGAGUUGGGUCGUGACAUUAACAAGUA